GUUGGUGAGAUGGCUUAGUGGGUAAGAGCACACGACUGCUCUUCCGAAGGUCCGGAGUUCAAAUCCCAGCAACAACA
rnacentral:tRNA from 1 species